rnacentral:rRNA from 1 species
AGGACGAACGCUGGCGGCGUGCUUAACACAUGCAAGUCGAGCGGUAAGGCCUUUCGGGGUACACGAGCGGCGAACGGGUGAGUAACACGUGGGUGGUCUGCCCUGCACUCUGGGAUAAGCCUGGGAAACUGGGUCUAAUACCGGAUAUGACCUGCUCUCGCAUGGGGGUGGUGGAAAGAUUUAUCGGUGCAGGAUGGGCCCGCGGCCUAUCAGCUUGUUGGUGGGGUAAUGGCCUACCAAGGCGACGACGGGUAGCCGACCUGAGAGGGUGACCGGGCCACGA